rnacentral:rRNA from 1 species
AUCAGACCUGAAAUCAGGCGAGGUUACCCGCUGAACUUAAGCAUAUUAUUAAGCGGAGGAGAA